GACGAACGCUGGCGGCGUGCCUAAUACAUGCAAGUCGAGCGGAAUUUAGAAAGACUUGCUUUCUAAGGUUUUAGCGGCGGACGGGUGAGGUAACACGUGGGCAACCUACCUUGUAGAUUGGGAUAACUCCGGGAAACCGGGGCUAAUACCGAAUAAUCCAUUUUGCUUCAUGGCGAGAUGUUGAAAGACGGUUUCGGCUGUCACUAUAAGAUGGGCCCGCGGCGCAUUAGCUAGUUGGUAGGGUAAUGGCCUACCAAGGCGACGAUGCGUAGCCGACCUGAGAGGGUGAUCGGCCACACUGGGACUGAGACACGGCCCAGACUCCUACGGGAGGCAGCAGUAGGGAAUCUUCCACAAUGGACGAAAGUCUGAUGGAGCAACGCCGCGUGAGUGAAGAAGGUUUUUCGGAUCGUAAAACUCUGUUGUAAGGGAAGAACACGUACGAGAGUAACUGCUCGUACCUUGACGGUACCUUAUUAGAAAGCCACGGCUAACUACGUG
rnacentral:rRNA from 1 species